rnacentral:lncRNA from 1 species
AUAAUUUCAUUAUAGGUUAAAGUGAAUGGAAGCUGAGCACCAGGUAGGAAACCGGAAAAGAGGUGGUGAGUCCAUCGGACUGCUUAAGUACCAAGCUCCCUUUCGGAUCCAAUCCUAGACAUGCAUACCGCCAUUGCCACACCUUAACGUCAUGGAUAUUUCUAGGAAACCGAUUUGAUUAAGUCAUUUUUAGGAAAAGUGAUUAAUUUUGGAAAAUACUUUCAUUGCGGAAGCUUUGCUUGUUGUCGUGUUAUUUUGAAAUCAAUUGUUGUUUUUGAAAACGCGCCCUAAAGCUAUCCAAUUUCAACAGUUAAAAUAAGUAAUACCUAUCUUAGUAAUACAUAUUAAAACCAUCAAAAAUAAUUAAGCGGCCUUAUUACAUUUAAAAACCCAAAACUUCAAACGUAAAUAAAAGGAUGUCCAGUUCACCAGAAGAAAAUAAAACUUUCAGAACGGGUGGCCACUCCGAAUUUCCUCACAGCUCCAAGCCCACUAUGGUUGGGGAUUUCCUGCGUGGAUGAAAAUAAAAGGGGUGAGUUUGGGGAAACUCAGUGUAUAAGGAAAACCCAUUCAAAGCCCAAGUCAGCUCCAGCCCAUUAGGCCUAAGCCCAUUCAGGUAACAGUGGUACUGGGCAAGAGCCAUUUUCAGAUUACAAUAAACUAGGCCUUAGCCCCUUAUUCAGAUAACAAUAUGGCCCAUAGGCCCAUUUCAAAAUACAUGCAACAUCAAUAACAUAUGCAAGCCCAUUUGGGGAGACUACUCAACCUACCAACCACUACACUCCACUCGUACCAGCCCUACAAUCCAUGUGGGGAAUAGCUCAACCCACCCAGCCCAACACUCCACAGUUGCAGCCUUGCUGCUCAGUUAACAGUAAAUUGAGGAAAAGCCUCCAGUACGUGGACAAGCCACUUUCAGUACUUCCUCCGUCAAUAUCCCAAUCCCAUGCAUCAGAUAAUAACAACAUGGCAUGCAGUAAAUAACAACGGUCAAACAUGCAUUUAGGUCAAUUUAACCCUAGGGGUAUUUCGGUAAUUUAUCUACUAGGGGCAAAACUGUAAAUUUUUCACUUUUAAAGGUAUUUCAGUAAUUUAUCUAUUUUAGGGUUUUUCAUGCAUAUUCCUACUUUUCACAUACUAACAGAAUCACGUACCGAGGGUUCUUACCGAAUUGGGCCCGUUGGCCCAUCAUUCCAAUUUUGGCCCAUUAAGCCCAAAAAUAUCGAGGGCACAGAAAUCACGCACUUUGCAGUCCAAAUUUUGCAGCUUACCAAAAACAUUAAUCGAUUUACCUCACGAGCAUUCGCACACUCACAAAUCUACAAAAUACCAGUUUUUGACAUUUCGGCUUUUCGACUUUUGCCGAUCCAGACUAAGAAAGAGGGUGUUAGUUACACACCUGUUUGUGACGAUAUGCUGACGAGAUCCAAACACGAACCGCCUACAAUUGGAUUACUAACACGUUAAUCUAACUAUUCAAAUACAAACUACGUAUUAACCCCUUACAAUAUUCGGCCAACCACACCUACAGAUCAUAGUAAGCUUAUAAGAAAUCAAUAAGCAACUCAUUAACAAAUUUUUGUCAAUGUUUACCACAUAAUCAUAAUUUUACUGCAAGCUGUCUUCCUGAGCAACAGUCACUAAAUCAUUUAUAACUGGAGAUACGAAACUCAAAAUCAAGUGCCAUUAAUUUUCCCUAAAAAUAGACUCAUAUAUCUUAUAUCCAUAAAAUUUUCAGAAUUUUUGGUUUGGCCAAUCAAUACCAGAUUUUUCUCAAAGUUUCGCAUGUUUCACUGUUUGACUAAUCUGACCACUCUUCAUUACGAAUCAAAUUUCUCAUUGUAAAGCAUUGAAAAUAUGUUAUCGUUUAUUUCAUUUGAAACUAGACUCAACAAGCUUUAAUUACAUAAUUUAUUCAGCUUCUA